AUUGCAGCGUAGAGGAGGGCAACUUGCACCGGUGGUUUUUAACUUGUGAUAUAUCUUUUAACAAUGAAUGACACAUCCGAAGAAAGCGUUGAUGUGUUGGUCUCUUAUGACGAUUUCAACUAUACCUACAGUUACCAAGACAGCUUGGACUGGCUACCUCUGAAUGAACUGGUACCCUGUGUAACAUUCUACGUCAUCAUUGGACUGUUGGGAAUUACCGGGAAUUCUCUGGUCAUUAUAGUCAUUUUGGCGCUCCCCAGGACGAGGAAUAUAACUAACCUGUUCCUGUUGAGCCUGGCCUCGGCAGACCUAUUGCUCGUACUUGUUUGUGUUCCAAUCAAGUGCGCCACCUUUUUCUCCUACACGUGGCGGAUGGGCGCCUUCCUGUGUAUCUUCACCCACUUCACUCAGACCGUCUCCAUGGUGUGUUCUGUCAUGACCUUGACCGUGAUGAGCAUAGAGAGGUUUGUGGCCAUCGUGUACCCUCUACGUGCACGGUCUGUCUGCACGGUUCGUCACGCUAGAGUUGUCAUUGGUGUCAUCUGGACACUCUCCUGUGUCCUCAGUGCUCCUGUACUUUACAUUCAGGACCUAAAAGAAGUGGGGCGUCAAAUCAAGGCCUACUGGUGUAUAAAGACGACCCAGUCCCCCGUCCACAGCCUGCUGUUUGAGGUCUACAUGUUUGUCAUCCUGUUCAUCGUACCUAUUACAAUCAUGGUGAUCUCGUACAGUCGGAUAUCUCACGAGAUUUGGAACGUAUCCUCCAGGCGAGCAUCGCUGUCCGCGAGAAGGUUGGAUUGCACAGCUCGCGUUGAACAUGUUUAAAAUUAAAUUAUUUAAUUAUGCCUCUGUGAAUAAAGUAAUAAUCUUUUUAUUUGCCAUGUUUUAUAAUCAAUUAACAAGCCGAUUCUUUCCUUCGAAAUUAUUGUAGACCAGAAGAAGUUAGAAUAAGGUCAAAACGUUAUUCGAAAGAAAAUGGCGCCUCGCAAGAACUGAUAACGAAAAAGCGAAUAAAUGACGCUCAGAUCAUAUCUAACGAUGCUAAAACAAGAAAACAGGUCAUCCUUAUGCUGAUAGUCAUAGUACUAUUCUUCUUCUUAUGCUGGGGGCCCAUACUUCUGAACAACUUAUUGGUGGCCUUAAAUGUCCUGGAUAAACUGAACAUAGGCUUCCUGAAGCCGAUGAGGAUGGCCUUUCACCUCUUGUCCUACUCUAACAGUUGCGUUAACCCCAUUGUCUAUGGCAUCAUGUCCCACAACUUUAGAGACCGUUUGCGGAGGACCCUGUCUAGAAGAGCGACCAGGAACCGCAGUCUGACGGCCACAAGUACAUUUCAAAGCAGAUCGUCUACAAUGAGGCGUCGGCAAAAUUCAAACUACAGUAAAACACGGUUAUAACAAAGCCUCUGGGACGAGCGACUUUGAUUCGCUGUAAACGUUAUUCGGUAUAUCCGAUAAGUAAUAGUACAGUCUUCGCUGUAAUCGUGUUUUCGAUGUAGCCAUGUUACAUAUUUAUCAUUAUUUGACUGUAAUGUGACUGACAACAUCCGGGUUUCAUCAUCUCAUGGAUUCAUACCUCAUUCAAAGGAGGUCCACUCUGAUUCACUUUUGUGACAAGUUUUAGUAAAGCCUUGACACAUUCUGCGGGAGUCAUCAUUAAACUGUUGUACGCAUUCAAAUGUCAACGUCUGCGAGCAACCUGAUACACGAUACCUUGUGUUUGUUCAGAAAAUUGACAUGUAUGAGUAUUUUUUUGUAAAAGAUUUUAUUCAAUGUGACUUGAGUUAAUCAGGUGACAUGUUGUUUUGCUAUUGGUCAUUUUUCGUGAGUCAUGCGUUGGUUAUAAACGAUUAGACACAUAACUUUUUCUUAAUCUACUUAGCCAAUUUCGAUCGGAAGGUUAUUUAAUUUAAAUAAAUUCUAAAUUGUU
rnacentral:misc_RNA from 1 species